rnacentral:rRNA from 1 species
UACGGAGGGUGCAAGCGUUAUCCGGAUUUACUGGGUUUAAAGGGUGCGCAGGCGGAUAUGUAAGUCAGUGGUGAAAUCUCCGGGCUUAACCCGGAAAUUGCCGUUGAUACUAUAUAUCUUGAAUGCUGUGGAGGUAAGCGGAAUAUGUCAUGUAGCGGUGAAAUGCUUAGAGAUGACAUAGAACACCUAUUGCGAAGGCAGCUUACUACGCAGAUAUUGACGCUCAUGCACGAAAGCGUGGGGAUCAAACAGG